rnacentral:tRNA from 1 species
GGGCGAAUAGCUCAGUUGGGAGAGCGCCUGCCUUACAAGCAGGAUGUCGGGGUUCAAGUCCCUCUUCGCCCA